UUUUAAAGAGAGUUUGAUCCUGGCUCAGGACGAACGCUGGCGGCGUGCCUAAUACAUGCAAGUCGAACGAACGGAGGAAGAGCUUGCUCUUCCAAAGUUAGUGGCGGACGGGUGAGUAACACGUGGGCAACCUGCCUGUAAGUUGGGGAUAACUCCGGGAAACCGGGGCUAAUACCGAAUGAUAAAGUGUGGCGCAUGCCACGCUUUUGAAAGAUGGUUUCGGCUAUCGCUUACAGAUGGGCCCGCGGUGCAUUAGCUAGUUGGUAGGGUAAUGGCCUACCAAGGCAACGAUGCAUAGCCG
rnacentral:rRNA from 1 species